GUUUUGUUUUAAGAUAGAGAGGGAAAUGUAGCUUAUUAUACAUAGGUGUUUCUUCCAAGAUGUGUGAAAAGUAAGAACAAGUUAGGAAGCGCAGAAUUUCUUCAGCCAGGUGCUGAGAUCUCCCCAGCUGGGAGCACUGCCAAUGCCUCACAUAGCUGCAGCUUUCACAUGUGUCAAGAUCAUGAAGAUAAGAGGAAUCGAUCAGGGAGUCACUGUAGCAGUCAUCCACUGAGACAGGCUGCUCGGAAACUUCAUGGCUUCACCUGGGAAAGACAUAUAAGGGUUUGGAAUAUUAUAAAUGCAGCCAAAUGAGUAAAGCAAGGAAGUGUUUAUGUAGUUUGGGACGAUCAGGAGGCCUAUGGAAAUAAUGGAGAAUGUCUUCCCUAGGAAGAAUAUAGCUUGGCGUGUUCCAAGGCAGAUGACCCUGGUUUACAUUUGCUCGUGUCAAAGGCACUGCAUGCUACAGACAGAGCUGACCGAAACCAACAGUGUGCUUCACAAAUACCGAUGGAGGGUGAAAAUACAAAAGCAACAUCUAAAGGGAAAUUUUCCACGCACAGGCAUACUGGAAAGAGAAGAGCCUUCGUCAGUGACUCACCAGCGAGGCACGCUGCGCCAGCACCAGGGAAUCACCAGAAGAGCUGAGAACUACCCUGGGCAAAGGUCCUCUGUGAUGGCUGAUGCUCAAAGCAAGAACUGCUGUCUCCCUCUGAGCACGCCAGCACCAUCGCACAGCUGGGCUCUAUCCAUUAAUCGGCUCAAGCAUGGGGUGCAGGACAGGUAAGCGCACAACAUUCGUGCAACUGGGAGAGGGCUAUAUCUGCAGGCACUGUCUGAGAGCAGAUUUCUGUGGGAUGUCCUUUCAGACUGACUUUGGGAAAGGAACCAAUUGGAAUGACAUACGGAAGAGGGAAGUUACUUGGCAGUUUGAACAGAGGCUGGUUAGUAAAUCGUGACGUGCUCACACUGAAAGAACAUGCUGAGUUCGUCUACAUAUGCUUUCCAGCGUUAGUUCCACUCAGUCUUUACUGAAGCUUAACAGUGAUGCUGAGCUCGUGGCUGCCAGCGAACAGCUGUAGCGUCAGAUCUAAGCACCAGUGCUGCACAAAGGCACUGGGAGCUGUCUCCCUGCAGCCACCACCAGCACUGUGCGGUGCCAGGAGAGCAUCACUGCCACCCAGCUCCUCCACUCCCAGCACAGCGCUGUCCUGCGCCUUGCAGCCCCCCUGGGAAAACAGUGGGAAGCAGCGGAGGUGCUGCUUUCUCCAUCCGUGGCAGCCACAGGUAACAAAAGCAUCCGUAUUUUUAAAAAAAGUAACCCUACGCUCCUGGAUUUUUGAUUGGAGUGAUCUGUCAUUAGAAAAGCCAAAACCAGCUCAUCUUGUUCACGAGUGCUCCCACUGACUAAAGCAGCAGUCAGCAUGCACUUUGGUUCUGAACCCAUGCAAUCCUUUUCCAAUGAAGACCUGACAAGCCAGGACAGAUUGCAGUCCAUGAGAUACACGCGGUGUGAUAGUAUUUUACCUGUAGGUGGAUCCUCAUUUUAGAUAGCGCGAUGCAGAGCCAAUGAGCUGAUUCACUGCUGUACUCCUGAUUUUCACUGGAAUAACACCACUGAAUCAUCAGCAAAGUUGAAGUAACACAUGAUAAAAUGGGACCAUUGUGUUUAAGUUUGCAGCAUGUGUAUGGAAAUGACUAGCUCUUUCUUGCAGAACAAUUGAACCAUAUGGAUACUUGUUGUGUGCUGUUUCCCAAAUGUAUCACAAAGAUGACAAUAUGUCACC
ensembl:lncRNA